UCCCUGAUGGUCCAGUGGUGAGGACUCUGCUCUAUCACUGCUGAGGGUAUAAGUUUGAUCCCUGGUUGGGGAA
rnacentral:tRNA from 1 species